CGUAGGGUGCGAGCGUUAAUCGGAAUUACUGGGCGUAAAGCGUGCGCAGGCGGUUUUGUAAGACAGGCGUGAAAUCCCCGGGCUCAACCUGGGAACUGCGCUUGUGACUGCAAGGCUAGAGUACGGCAGAGGGGGGUGGAAUUCCACGUGUAGCAGUGAAAUGCGUAGAGAUGUGGAGGAACACCAAUGGCGAAGGCAGCCCCCUGGGUCGAUACUGACGCUCAUGCACGAAAGCGUGGGUAGCAAACAGAAUUAGAUACCCUGGUAGUCCACGCCCUAAACGAUGUCAACUAGGUGUUGGGUGGGUAAAACCAUUUAGUACCGGAGCUAACGCGUGAAGUUGACCGCCUGGGGAGUACGGCCGCAAGGUUA
rnacentral:rRNA from 1 species